rfam:Cavia porcellus supercont2_11 genomic scaffold, whole genome shotgun sequence.
GGUUUAGCUCAGUGGCAUAAGCACCUGCCUUGCAAGCUGGCAGUCGUGGGUUCGAUUCCCGGUACCA